rnacentral:rRNA from 1 species
UACGGAGGGUGCAAGCGUUAUCCGGAUUCACUGGGUGUAAAGGGUUCGUAGGCGGUGUGGCAAGUCGGGAGUGAAAUCUCUGGGCUCAACCCAGAGUCUGCUUCCGAAACUGCUGUGCUUGAGUGUGGGAGAGGCGCGUGGAAUUGCAGGUGUAGCGGUGAAAUGCGUAGAUAUCUGCAGGAACACCCGUGGCGAAAGCGGCGCGCUGGACCACUACUGACGCUGAGGAACGAAAGCUAGGGGAGCAAACAGG